rnacentral:rRNA from 1 species
GAUGAACGCUGGCGGCGUGCCUAAUACAUGCAAGUCGAGCGAACGGACGCGACGCUUGCUUUUCUGAUGUUAGCGGCGGACGGGUGAGUAACACGUGGAUAACCUACCUAUAAGACUGGGAUAACUUCGGGAAACCGGAGCUAAUACCGGAUAAUAUUUUGAACCGCAUGGUUCAAAAGUGAAAGACGGUCUUGCUGUCACUUAUAGAUGGAUCCGCGCUGCAUUAGCUAGUUGGUAAGGUAACGGCUUACCAAGGCAACGAUGCAUAGCCGACCUGAGAGGGUGAUCGGCCACACUGGAACUGAGACACGGUCCAGACUCCUACGGGAGGCAGCAGUAGGGAAUCUUCCGCAAUGGGCGAAAGCCUGACGGAGCAACGCCGCGUGAGUGAUGAAGGUCUUCGGAUCGUAAAACUCUGUUAUUAGGGAAGAACAUAUGUGUAAGUAAAUGUGCACAUCUUGACGGUACCUAAUCAGAAAGCCACGGCUAACUACGUG